CAGCCGUACUUAUGGGUAAUCAGCCUUUUGGGUGUGAUUUUGUGGAGCGGUGAGGAGUUAAACGCCUUCAUGCCUGCAUAUUCGUGCACUUUGGGUGUACUUGCCCGUGUGUAAGUUAACAUCAAUUUUGGUGGUCAUAAAAUGGCUGGAGGAAUGUAGCUUCGAUCUCGUAUCGAAGUGUUAUAGACUCUGGUUAGAUGUGACGGGUUGGGAUUGAGGAUUGCAACGGAUACCCUUGGGGCUACCUGUCUGGUCUCUGAUCGUUGCUCUGGUGCCGAAGCUUGCUUACGGUUAUC
rnacentral:rRNA from 1 species